GUAGGUGAACCUGCGGAAGGAUCAUUACUGAGUUAGGGUCUUCUGGCCCGACCUCCAACCCUGUGUCUACCUUACCACGUUGCUUCGGCGGGCCGGUCGACAGGAUCUGUCGGCUGCCGGUGGGUCUUAAACCCCGCUGGACAGUGCCCGUCGAUGGCCAACCUCUAAAACUCUUGAAGAACCAUGCCGUCUGAGUACCAAACUAAAUAAAGUAAAAACUUUCAACAACGGAUCUCUUGGUUCUG
rnacentral:misc_RNA from 1 species